AAGUAAGAAAAUGUCCAUGCCAGAUGUGAGUGACAUAUGGUGUCAUGUGCAGCAAGUAAACAGGAAACAAUAUUCAAGGUCAGAGGUCAUCUGAACCCUGUGGUGUGCGGAUAUUGGCACCCAUCCCCUCCAGGCGUUCAUUUUAUGGAGUCAUCAUCGCCAUCGAUUUUACUGUCUUGUUUACUGCCCCGCACCAAAUGAGGACGUGUGGAAAUGGAUUCUGUUCUGCUCAGGAAGAGAAAAGGAAUCACUAAUGAAAUGGACUGGUUAAUAUAAACAUAUAAAACCAUAUAAUAAUGAUAGUAAUUAUUGUACACAUUGUAAAUGUAUCAUCUUUGUUUUUGUCUUUGUCUAAUAGUAAAUGGGUAAUCUCCACAUUUUCACUUGAGAAUGCUGGCUGUUUAUAAAAAAUAAAAAAAAGCAUGCAAAUGGCCCAGAAAAAGGGGCCAUUUAUUCACAAACCCAAUAAGUAAGAAUAUCUAUUGGCCAAACCAAUUACAGUUAUCUCUAGUUGUAUUUGUGUCUCCAGUUCUCCAAAACGUUCUUCAUUCAUGGAAACUGCCAGGUGUAGUAUGUGCAUGAUGCUGGUUUUGGUUCUCUGCUGCUAAUUGAAUUCAGAACAAGGAGAAGACUGUCAAUUAACUCAGUUUCAGGCAGCUUGACCAGUCAUGGCACUUCUCGAAACAGUGGAACAGAACCAUGAAACAUCUGCACAUCAGACAUGCUGUACGGAAAGAAGAGGACAGGCGGACGGGGAGAUCAGAGGAGGAUUGAGAGAAUGAAAUGCAGAUUGGAGGUAAAAGAGAAAGAGUAUCGGGAGGGCAGCUCUGUCAGCACACAGACAUACUGGACCUGUCCGAAGCUUUAAUGUUUGUUCGUUUGGGUGCAAUUAGGAAGGCCUAGUGAUACCUCACCAGCAGGAAAGUGACUUAUUUCUUAGUCUGAGAGCUUCCCCAACCAGUGGACUUUACAGCAGGUCGAAUCAGCCAUUACUAGACAACACCAUCGACUCAUAUCAGACGCAGAACAGGUGAUUAACGUCAGAGCUCUAGAACUGACCUCACACCCUUCCACAUAUUCACUGCUCAUUCACCUCUGGACAGUAAUUGGAGAAAAUGUCUAUCACUCGUAGCAUCUUUUCUUAUUGUGCGUGCUCGCAAUCCACAGCUAACCGAAAUGAGUGAAAUGACUGGAGAAUGUGGAGAGCUGUGGCCACCUGAUGUGAUCGGUUGAGCAAGCUUUUCUUGAGAUUAUAUGAUACUGACACUGAUGCAUUGUUGACUUAGGAAUAAUUACCAUAAAAUUAAUGAAAACAGCUGGGCAAAGCACAAUAAGCAUUUUGUUACUUGUAUGUUAAUGUUAUACAAAUUGUCUGUAAUUCUGUAACUUUUAUCACAAAAUACAAACAAUAAUUAAUUUUUCUGCUCUUUAAUGUGGUGUGGGAUCACUGCAUUCACCUCAAUUCAGACGACAUGUGAAUCAAUCGUAUUUUCCUCUUUUCUUCUAGUCACAGCACAAGAUGACA